GUCAUAUGAAGUACCAUUUAGCAAACCCUGGCAUCAUCUGUGCCCUCUUUCUAACUUAAGAGAGACCAAAACUCACCAAUAGAACUGUAAAUUUCUAAAGAACAAACUACAUCCAUAAAAGCUGGGAACAGCAAAGAAUUUGAUGAAAAUAACUGUUGAAAUAAAAUCUCAAAUGAAGCUGAGAGAACCUUUGACAGCAGCUCUGGCUUCAGACUCCCAAGACAUAAAGACAAGCAAAGUGAAGCAGACAGUCUUGUGUUCAGCUCAUUUCCAGGCAUGCAUCUGGGGAACUCCUUGGAUGGGGCUGGCAUGAAAUCUUCAUGGCAGGAAUACCACCCAGAGGCUUUCCAGCAAGCAUACCACAGAAGAAAGCUGUCCUGUACCUGCCCCAGGGAUUCAGUGGAGUCCAGAGGAGACGUGAAAGGAGAGGGUUUAGAGCAAGGAGCAAUCGCAUCCAACGUCCCCGGGCCAGACUAUUCACUUGGUAGACAAGCCUGCUGCCCCUGAACCUGAGCAAAUGAUGUGGUGAAGUAUUUUGCAGUCCUUAGGAGAGCGGUGAGCAGGGUACCAUUCUGCUGACACCACACCGUACCUGGAAGCCCCCACAUCAGCCUGCUCCUCGGUGAAGAUGCAACCACAGUUCCAGGUGGUGUCACAACCAGCUCUCGGUACCAUGACCUUCAGAUAAAAUAGCUGAGUCCUGAACUUCUGUUGUGGAAGGUCCUCCUCACCAGUUUCAUGGUGUUCCAAUAGAAAACCAAAAGGUUCCUCAAUAUCCAAGGGAAACCUGAGACAGUGAGCAGCAACGUGUCCAACUUACACCCCAUCUUGCAAGUCCGAUUCUAAGCAGCUCUUUGUGACCUUACAAAGUCCGUG